rnacentral:rRNA from 1 species
UACGUAGGUGGCAAGCGUUAUCCGGAAUUAUUGGGCGUAAGCGCGCGCAGGUGGUUUCUUAAGUCUGAUGUGAAAGCCCACGGCUCAACCGUGGAGGGUCAUUGGAAACUGGGAGACUUGAGUGCAGAAGAGGAAAGUGGAAUUCCAUGUGUAGCGGUGAAAUGCGUAGAGAUAUGGAGGAACACCAGUGGCGAAGGCGGCUUUUGGUCUGUAACUGACGCUGAGGCGCGAAAGCGUGGGAGCAACAGG